rnacentral:rRNA from 1 species
AGCAGCCGCGGUAAUUCCAGCUCCAAUAGCGUAUAUUAAAGUUGUUGCAGUUAAAAAGCUCGUAGUUGAAUUUCAGGCCUGGCUGGACGGUCCGCCCUUCGGGUGAGUACUGUCUGUGGUCGGGUCCUACCUUCUGGCGAAGCGUCAUGGCCUUAACCGGCCGUGGCGGGGAACCAGGACUUUUACUGUGAAAAAAUUAGAGUGUUCAAAGCAGGCAAAUCGCUUGGAUACAUUAGCAUGGAAUAAUGGAAUAGGACAAUGGUUCUAUUUGUUGGUUUCUAGGACCGUUGUAAUGAUUAAUAGGGAUAGUUGGGGGCAUUAGUAUUCAAUUGUCAGAGGUGAAAUUCUUGGAUUUAUUGAAGACUAACUACUGCGAAAGCAUUUGCCAAGGAUGUUUUCAUUAAUCAAGAACGAAAGUUAGGGGAUCGAAGACGAUCAGAUACCGUCGUAGUCUUAACCAUAAACUAUGCCGACUAGGAAUCGGGCGAUGUUGAAAAAAUGACGC